GAGGGGACUAGAUGGAGGGACUGGGUAGAUGGUUGGUUUCAUGGCCGCUCAUGCGUACGUCCACUGUGUUUGGGAGUAGUCUAGACAUAUGGCCUUUCCUUUCCCUGUACAUUCUCGCUCAGCUUAGAUCCAAGGAUAUCGCGCGGACCUUAACUAUGUAUACACGUAGAUACUCUGGAGCUCUUCAGCGGCAUUUGAUUGACAACGAAGAGAGAAAAGAUGUGGGACUUUCCGAACAGCAAACUCCCCUUAUCAACAAUUCCAAGGUUGUGCAUACAGUGCCCACCAUGCGUAAUAUAUAUCAAUUCCAUCAUUGCCCCCU
rnacentral:sRNA from 1 species